UACGGAGGGAGCUAGCGUUGUUCGGAAUUACUGGGCGUAAAGCGCACGUAGGCGGGUCUUUAAGUCAGGGGUGAAAUCCUGGAGCUCAACUCCAGAACUGCCUUUGAUACUGAGGAUCUUGAGUUCGGGAGAGGUGAGUGGAACUGCGAGUGUAGAGGUGAAAUUCGUAGAUAUUCGCAAGAACACCAGUGGCGAAGGCGGCUCACUGGCCCGAUACUGACGCUGAGGCACGAAAGCGUGGGGAGCAAACAGG
rnacentral:rRNA from 1 species